AUUCUUUUAGUAUGACCAGUACAGCUGACUUCCAAUCAGCCAGCCCUGAUAAAAUUCAGGAAAGAAUA
rnacentral:tRNA from 1 species